rnacentral:rRNA from 1 species
AUUGAACGCUGGCGGCAGGCCUAACACAUGCAAGUCGAACGGUAACAGGAAGAAGCUUGCUUCUUUGCUGACGAGUGGCGGACGGGUGAGUAAUGUCUGGGAAACUGCCUGAUGGAGGGGGAUAACUACUGGAAACGGUAGCUAAUACCGCAUAACGUCGCAAGACCAAAGAGGGGGACCUUCGGGCCUCUUGCCAUCGGAUGUGCCCAGAUGGGAUUAGCUAGUAGGUGGGGUAACGGCUCACCUAGGCGACGAUCCCUAGCUGGUCUGAGAGGAUGACCAGCCACACUGGAACUGAGACACGGUCCAGACUCCUACGGGAGGCAGCAGUGGGGAAUAUUGCACAAUGGGCGCAAGCCUGAUGCAGCCAUGCCGCGUGUAUGAAGAAGGCCUUCGGGUUGUAAAGUACUUUCAGCGGGGAGGAAGGGAGUAAAGUUAAUACCUU